GUGGGGAAUAUUGGACAAUGGGCGAAAGCCUGAUCCAGCCAUGCCGCGUGUGUGAAGAAGGUCUUCGGAUUGUAAAGCACUUUAAGUUGGGAGGAAGGGUAGUAACCUAAUACGUUGCUACUUUGACGUUACCGACAGAAUAAGCACCGGCUAACUUCGUGCCAGCAGCCGCGGUAAUACGAAGGGUGCAAGCGUUAAUCGGAAUUACUGGGCGUAAAGCGCGCGUAGGUGGCUCAGUAAGUUGGAAGUGAAAUCCCCGGGCUCAACCUGGGAACUGCUUUCAAAACUGCUGAGCUAGAGUACGGUAGAGGGUGGUGGAAUUUCCUGUGUAGCGGUGAAAUGCGUAGAUAUAGGAAGGAACACCAGUGGCGAAGGCGACCACCUGGACUGAUACUGACACUGAGGUGCGAAAGCGUGGGGAGCAAACAGGAUUAGAAACCCGGGUAGUCC
rnacentral:rRNA from 1 species